rnacentral:rRNA from 1 species
UACGUAGGGGGCAAGCGUUGUCCGGAAUCAUUGGGCGUAAAGCGCGUGUAGGCGGUUCGGUAAGUCUGCUGUGAAAGUCCAGGGCUCAACCCUGGGAUGCCGGUGGAUACUGUCGGACUAGAGUACGGAAGAGGCGAGUGGAAUUCCCGGUGUAGCGGUGAAAUGCGCAGAUAUCGGGAGGAACACCAAUGCGAAGGCAGCUCGCUGGGACGUCACUGACGCUGAGACGCGAAAGCGUGGGGAGCAA